CAAACGGCCCUUUUCAGGGCCACAAAAUUUCUCACGAAAGAAUUGU
rfam:Culex pipiens quinquefasciatus supercont3.1351 genomic scaffold, whole genome shotgun sequence.